AAUCUAUAUGUUUUUCCUGUUUUUUAUAUUUUUUUUGCUAUUGAUUUUUCCUAGAUCCAAUUCUCUGCCUGUGGCGGUGUCUUGAGAAUCCCAAUGUAGAUUACAAAUGGUACAUACUUAUCAUUACAACUUCCUCACAUCACAUAGAAGAUUUAAAGUAGUAGAAUACUAGCAAUUGGCAAAACAAUCCUGGCAUGUUGCGGACCUACAAUUCUUUGGUGGGAAGACUGGAGAACAAGAUGUGACAAAAAUGACGUA
rnacentral:lncRNA from 1 species